ensembl:snRNA U6 U6 spliceosomal RNA
GUGCUCGCUUCAGCAGCACAUAUACUAAAAAAUUGGAACAAUACAGAGAAGAUUAGCAUAGCCCCUGCGCAAGGAUGACAUGGAAAUUCGUGAAGUGUUCCAUAUUUUU